UAGGAAAAAAUUUAUGAUUAUCAAAGGGGAAAGGGAGGGGAAGAGAUAAAUUAUGAAUCUGGGAUUAAAAUAUACAUACUGUAUACAGAAUAGGCAAUAAGGAUUUAUUGUAUAACAUAAUAAUAUUUAAUAUCUUGUAACAACCUAUAAUGGAAAUAGUCUGAAAUAUGUAUAUUUCAGAAUCACUUUCCUAUACACCUGGAAUUAAUGCAAUAUUGUAUGUAAAUCAACUAUACUUCAGUUUUGAAAGAAAGAAAAGGCAAAUGCAUAGAAAAUAUGAAAUCAAAAAUAAAAUUUUUCAGGAUUAAACUUAUAUAAUUCAACAUCCCACUAAAAAGAAGUCCAAAAAGAGAAUGAAACAAAAUAUCAGAGAUGUACUUUUUUAAAUCUGAAUUCAGGGAAACAUAAGUCUACUUUUAAGAAUGUAGUCUAAAAAUAUAUGCAAAGACAUUAAGAUAUAUACACAACUGUGCUUAGUACAACAUUUUUGUAGUAGGCAAAAAUUGGAAACAAUCUGAUUGGUCACAGUAUUGUCUGGUUAGUUAAAUUAUGGAACAUCUACACUUAUGUAGUUGUUUAAAAAAAUAAUAACGUGGCUCUGGAGUUCCUGUUGUGGCUCAGUGGGUUACGAAGGCGACUAGUAUCCAUGAGGAUGUGGGUUUGAUCCCUGGCCUUGCUCAGUGGGUUAAGGAUCCGGCAUUGCCAUAGCUGAGGUAUAGGUCGCAGAUGUAGCUCGGAUGCCAUGUAGCUGUGCCUGUGGCUGUGGCUGGCAUCUCAGCUCUGAUUCGAACCCUAGCUGGGAACCUCCAUAUGCUGCAGGUGCAGCCCUAAAAAGCAAAGCAUCAUCAACAACAACAAAACAAACAAUCAAAUAAUGUGGUUCUGGAUGUCCUAACAUGGAAAGACAUCCAGCUUCUACCACGAAGUGAGAAAAGUCAGUUGCAGAACAGUAUUAGUAGAGGGAGCCUGUUUUUCUUUGAAAAAUAAAAUGAAAUAAAUAAAAUGUUUAUAGAUAAAUGUUUGCAUACACAUUGCAGCUAGUCUAAAAAGCUACUGAAGAAACUGUUAAUAGUAGGUCCCAGAGUUCCCGCUGUGGUGCAAUGGGAUGGGCAACGUCUCUGUAGCGUGAGGACACAGUUUCCAUCCUCUGCCCAGCACGGGGGGUGGGGGCGUUGCUGCAGCUGAAGCAUAGGCUGCAAGUGCAACUUGGGUCUGAUCCCUGGCCCUGGAACUCCAUAUGCUGCGGGGGUGGCCAAAAGAGAAAAAAAAAAAAAAAAUCAUAGGUCUCUCUUGGGAGAGGAGCAGGAUGGGAGAGGGUUAAAUGAAUAGCCCUUCAACUCUGUGUCUACAUUGUUGAUUUUUUUCAAUGUUUAUGUGUUUUUUCUGAAAUUUCUAAAAAUCAAAAGCAGUAAUAAGUAAAUUAUUUACAACAUUAUGGAAAGGGAAAAAAGCUUUGCCCUUUACAGUAUCUCUAGGAAGAAAGCGCAGAUCACCAGGGGCCGGGAAGAAAAGAAAAUGAAAUUUCUAAUUAAGACUCAGAUGAGGAACACAAGCAGUAAGAGACAUUGCCAUGUCCUUCGGGAACUUAGAUUAGAGUUGGGAAGGUGGACCCACACAGAUGGCCAGUACCAGGGCUCAGCAGUAUUGCCUGCUGUCCAAAUGUCAAAGCCUGGAGAACUCAGAGGACAGAGACCAGUGAAGACUGGAGGAGCCAAAGAUGCUUCAUGGAGGACAUAAGCCUUGAAGGAUGGUAAAGGCAGAAAGGAGAACAUUACAAGUCAAACAGCCAGUGAGAGUAUAGAGAUGCAUUCAAGCCUGACCGGUCCCAUCUGUGUCCCCUCCUUUUGCAAAUCCACCUACAUCAAUAUCGUCCAUGGAUGGUGAUAAUAGAAGAUGCACAGAGGCUCUGAAAAAACUCCCCAGACCCUCUCUUAUUGUACCCGAGUAAAUAAUCUAAAGCACGGGGCACUCUGCCCUAAUCCCUUGGGCUGCACAGCUCUUCUGCUGCCCCUAUCCUUUUAUCUUUUGCCUCUCCCUGAAUCUUGACCGUUGCACAUUGGAGCAUCAAAUUGCAGGGUGGAAAGAGGAGGGAUCUGACUUCUCCUAUGUAUUCAGGAAAACUACCCAGCAGCAUGGUGCCCCUGGCACACAUCUACGCCAAAUGCAUUCCCUUGCCAAGUUGUUGUCCCACAGUUAGGCAGAGUCAACCAUGCUCUUCAGACUCGAGGCCUGAGCAGACUUGUCACCUAGAAGCCUUUUCCCCAUCACUCAGUUCCAGGCCUCACGCCUGGAGGUGCUGAUACAGCAGAUCCUGGGAGCAUCCUGGACAUGCGCAUUUUGAAAAUGCUCCCCAGGUUAUUCUGUUUGGUUCCUCACCAAGUCCGCCCUGGGGAAACACCAACGUUCCCUGUGCUUCCCUUGUGAAGAACCACUCUAGGUGAUGCUUUCUAAAGAGCCGCUUUCUUGUUGGCCUCCGGUCUCAUUCGCCAGCGCUGCAGAGCAAUGCAUUAUGGGCCGCAGCCUCGGAACCAAAAGAGUGGCAGCCACCGCUUAUGCUUUACUUACUUCAGAGCCCGUUACUUAUCCUAACUUAUUUAACCUUCACAAUGACACUUGGAGAUACUAGGAAGAAACUCCUAAGUGGUAAAGGCCAGAUUUAAACUGAGCUCAUCGUCAUAACUGAUACCUUACAUGGCCUCAUGCAGCAAGUUUCAGAAGACCUCAGGAUCACAUAUUUCUCUAUGGUCACACUAACCCCAGUCACCACACUGGUCACUCCUACCCGGUCCAUCUGGCUCCCCCACCAACCCAGCCUUCCCAUCUAUUUGGUCGGCUCUGCCACAGAAGUUCUAAAAACAAUAGUGCAGACCUCAGUGUUUUCCUGUUGCUCUCCUAAGCCUUGGCUUAGACUUUCCUUCCAAAAAAACAUCCCCAACACCCCCAUCGUCCAUGCCAAGCUGCGUUAGGCUCCUGAUCUACACUUCUCUCCUGCUCUCCAUUUCUCCAUCACCACACUUACUCUGGCAUCGUGAUGGUCUGUGUCCGCUUUCAUCUCCCUCAGCUGAGAGCUCACUAAGGUCAGGAGCCCGUUCCAACCAUCUAGUACCAGAUCCAGUGGAAGCAACUCAGAACGGCCUCUUGAGUAAACAACAUCGGCUUCCGUGAAACCUCCAGCCCUCACCUCACAGGAAGGGCGUAUUAAUUCUGCUCUGAAGUCUGGGGUAAGAAGGAACAUCUUUCAACAGCCCCUUAUUAAGACUUUAUCUCUAGAAACUACAGACAUACACUACGCAUCUUUUCCUAUUCUCCCUUCCAAGCCUCCCUGCCCCAUUAUACAUAUAUUCUUUUUCUACAGCCGAGGGACAAAACAGUCUGCUUAAUAUGCAGAAGAUACACGUCCAUCCAAACUCCAGCAUUUCUAACAGAAAGAUCCCCUUUAUCAUCCUUAAAUCCCUCUUUCUGACCCUACCCAGACGUAUUAGAAGGACCUACCUCAACGGGAGAGAUGAGGCUCUAAGACGUACACAUGUGACAAAUGGAAACACUUCAUAGUCGCCUACCAGCUAAAGUUGUAGUUGCAGACUUUAUGAUCUUUUUUUAGAACAGAAGUUCUCUUUUAUUUUUGUCUUUUUGCCUUUUUCUUAAGCCACUCCCACAGCAUAUGGAGGUUCCCAGGCUGAGGGUCCAAUUGGAGCUGUAGCUGCAGGCCUACACCAGAGCCACAGCAACACGGGAUCCGAGCCGUGUCUGCCACCUACACCACAGCUCACGGCAACGCUGGAUCCUUAACCCACUGAGCAAGGGUGGGGGUCGAACCCAAAACCUCAUGGUUCCUAGUCGGAUUCAUUAACCACUGUGCCUCGACGGGAACUCCAAGAACAGAAGUUCUAAAAAUAAUAGUGCAGACCUCAGUGUUUGCAUGUAGAAGUUCCAGAGGCAGGGACUGAACCCACACCACAGCAGUGACAAUGUCAAGUCCCCAAUCACUAGGCCACCAGGGCACUCCAAACUUUCCUAUAUUUAUCUUUUAAAAUUUAGGGUCUUCAGAAUCAGUCACAUCUUGUGAAACAUAAGGAGAGAGGGAAAAAUUGAUGAGCAGGAACUGCCAGUGGAACCGAACAGUGGUCAAGGAGAGCAACACGGCAAAGUAAGAAACAGCAAAGAAUGGCAUGUGCUUUUCACAACUUCUCUGUAAAACUGUGCAUUUGGCUUUAAGACAACAAAUAUACUUUUAUGAUAUCUAUCGACAACUUUAUAAAUAAUUUCUGUCAAUCCCCUAGAAUGCUCUUGACAGACUAAACAUAUUAGCAACAAAUCUCCUUUGCCGUCACUCUCUCACAGCUCCCCUGCCCCAGUCACGCUUAAUGUGGCUCAGGAUCUCUUUGUUUUGCCAGUCAUUUCAGCACUGUUAAAAUGCACCGCUAAAAUGGCUUUGGUAACAAAUACGAAAUAUAGUCCUUAAAACAUUCCUUAGUAGAAAACAUUGCAUUCUUCCUUCACACAAUAUAAGCUGUCUUAAGGGUGUUCAGGAGAAGAAUGGAAAUGAUAUUCUGUAAAACCUUGAACAUGCUCGUCCUGCUCUCACCUUUGAUACUGACUGCAUGACAAAUUGUAUAAACCCUAAUAAGCAAACAUCACACCCCAAGAUUAAAGCCCCGGUGCAAAAGUGUCAUUAAUCACACCAAACACCUAUUUGCUUUUCUGUUGGCAUCAAAAUGUAAUUGUUUCUAAGUUAAACAUACCUCCUGGUACAAUGCUGAUCCAAAUCUGUGUGGCUGGCAACAUGAAAGGGAAGCUUAUCUUCUUUCAUCCAUUGUAAGAACGUGUUUUCCUCCAACCAAAAUGGUCAACUUGAAUUCAAGUUUAUUCUGUCCUCCUCUAUAAAUGUUGCCAAACCCAGCACUUCAAGUUUGAGUUAAGUACAAAAGAAUGAUCUCUGUUUGUCCUCUAGGUUGAUUAAAGCACAUGGUUUGGGGGAGGUGGGGGCAGGAGGAGAGGCAAUGAGAUCAUAGACACAUUUGAGAAUCCGAAAAAAGUUCAGACUGUCACCCCCAAAUAAUACACAUUCACUCACAUUUCACAAAUUGAGAAUUUACUUUGCAGGGGUUUUUGGCCCCACCAAAGCCCAUUCAUGGUCCUCAGGUUAAGAACUCACACAUUUGAACAAAAACUUCAUGGGGUCCAGAAAUUAAUUUAUAUGCACUUCUUGGUAGAAAUAGCAUACAUCAUUGAGCAACCACUUAAUUCUAGUUAUUAAUGGAAAAAUGUAUCCUGUUUAUUAAAUUAGCUUCGUAUUAUCCCAAGAUUAACUAUGAUAAUCUUUUUGAAUUAGGAUUUAGUAAUAAAUCGGUUUUUAGAAAAGAGUUUUAGGAGGUCUCUUGUGGCAUAGCAGGUUGAGGAUCCAGCAUUGCCGCUGCAGUGGCUCGGGUUGCCACUGUGGCACAGGUUCAAUCCCUGGCCCAGGAACUGCCACAUGCCAUGGGUGUGGCCAAAAAAAAGGAAAGGAAUUUUAUAGUUCCUUCCCUUACUGACCCCCCACAAAGAGCUCCAUAAAUAUUUGCAAACCAUCCAUCUGAUAAGGGAUAUAUCUAAAAUAUGCAAGGAACUCAUAUAUUCAUCAGCAAAUCAUUAGCAAAAAAAAAAAAAAAAAA
rnacentral:lncRNA from 1 species